CUCCCCCAGGUUUAGGGAUUCUAAAAGUCAUGUUCUGGCCACAUCCCAGGCCUGCUCAGUUCCUGGAGGGAAGAGCUUGAGAAAGAGGUAGCCAGCACUGUGCUUUUUACAUAAGGAAGUAUGUAAUGUAGGAAACUGCAGUCUGAGGACCAAAGCAGCAGCUCCCUGGAGGUCAUCCAGGUGAGACGUAUUUCUAGGUCUGACGUAAGGGUCGGGGGCAGAGCCAAGGCUGCUACAGAAAUAGAACUGUAAGCCCCAGGGAGUGUGGGGAGAUAACCCUGGAGACAAGCCACCUAGAACCAAACAGCCUUGACUCUGAAGGCUUCCCAGGAUGCUGGCUCAGCAACAGGACAAACCAAUCCCCAACCCGAGUCACAUCCAAGUCCCAGCUGGGUACAGCUGGGCUUAGAUCAGGGAACAUCCGAGGCAGGCGGGUGCCUUCGCAGCUCCAGUCCUUCCUCAGCCUUGCAACAGCCUCCUGCUCUUCCCAGUGCAUCCCCUCUGGGCAGCAGGCUCAGGCACGACGCAGGGGUGUCUGGCAGGGCCAGGGCCACUGAUGCUGCUGCUGGCCAGGACUGAAAAAUGCAGACUGCAGGCAACAUAAGCAAGCAGGACAACCCCGCUCAGAUUGUGUGUGUGUGUAAAGUUUGAUGGAACUGCACGGGCUGGGGGCGUCUGGGGAAGUAUCUAUAAGUGGCAAUCGGCUGAGCAGCUGGGAGGAACUUCAGAGAAGAGACAGAAUAUUAAGAGCCACCACCUCCCACAGCCAUCUAUGCAGUUCCUCAGUGCUCCCCGCACCCUCUGCAGCCUGGAAGGCCCAGGACGAUGAGGGCACCAUCUCCAAGCGGCCAGGCCUGGGCCCAGCAGGGAGGCUGCACCGCACACGGGCGUGGCGUCAGAAGUCAGAUGCGUUUCGGUGUAGUUGGUGAGAUGGCCACAGGGUCCUCCACCACAAGCCCUGCGGGGACCAGCACGGAGGAAGGAACAGGAACUCCGGUUAGCUUUCCGCACCUAUGCAAGAAGGCUAAGUGCCCAGCACUGGCUGCUGAAAACGCAGCGAACACAGAGGAGAAAGUCCCCGCACAUUUCUCAGUUCUGCAACAGUGAACUGGAAUAGACAUGCACCGGCCCCAUCUCACCUGCUACCCUGGGGGAUAGGCAGACCUCAACAUUCAUUCUUCAAGAUGCUCACACCACUGAAGAAAGCUCAGAGUGAUUUGGGCAAGACAGCAAAAGCCAAGGCUACUUGUUGCCAGAGACAGGGACUGCUGUGGCAUCGAGCCUUCAAGACCUCCUUAGACAUGCAGCCCAGCUGAGGAGCUGUCUUCAAACCCAGGCAGGGCCAAGAAGCAGGGCGGCUCUGGUGGCAGCAGUGAGGGCUCAGAUAUCGGGGAAAUCUGGAAGGAUGGCUGGAGCCAGAAUGCCACUUAGACAUAAGUGGAUGGCAGUUUCAGCAGGAACUUUGCCAAAUGACUCUCCCUUCAAUGGUCGGGGCUUGGUUUCAAGUGAAUGCUACCGUUCAAGUCGAGGAUUCCAGGCAGAAACUGAGAGGAACAUGGUGUUAUCUAUUUGGCCCCUGUGUGCUUGUGGUCACUGAGUAAAGACAAAAUACAUCUUCACCACUCUGCAAUUUCUUCCUUUCCUCGAGAGCAAUGAAGAUGAACUUCUUUCCUGAUGAAGGAGCUAGCCUGUGAAUCUUCAGUGUGUGGCCAGGCCAGAGAUGCAUCCUGUUUCCAGAAAGGCGAUGGAGGAACCACUCUGGGCAUUCUGCUGGGAUAAGGAAUGAGCUACAAGCCUGGGUUCCUGCAGCACAGCCCAAGAGAAGAGGCACAGGACAGUCCUCAGGUGAGCUCUUGCACUCUCAGUGGGAAGCCAGAAAGCAGACAGCUCAGAGCGCCUGGAGCUCCUUGGCAGAGGUGGAAUGGUGAGCCUUGACCAACGUCAGAAGAUGGGGGAGAAAGAGGCUUUCCAAUCCUUGAUGCCAGCAAGGGAACAAAGCCCAGGAGCCUGCAGCCAGUGAAGACGCCCUCAGCACACCAGGCGAGGGGAGAGGACAAGGGGAAACUGCAGGAAAGCCCCCCAGUGGCUGAGGCAUGCUCACCAGGGUCAGCAGGCAGUCAGGUUUGGCAGAAUCAGCUAGUAAAGGGAAAAGCAGGCUGGAUGUGGCACUUGGUCUUUCUGCUACCUGACUCAACCUUCUCCCCCAACCUCUGGUUGUUCUUUAAAACACUGGUGUUCCCAAAGGCUCUGAGCCCUCUCCCUUUCCAUCCAGGUUUUCCUCAAAUGGCUCUGUGCUCAAGCCUUCAAGCCCUGACUCGCUAAACUAGGACCUCUAAAUCUACAUCUCUCGGCCGGGCGUGGUGGCGCAUGCCUGUAAUCCCAGCACUUUGGGAGGCUGAGGCAGGAGGAUCGCUUUGAGCCCAAGAGUUCAAAACCAGGCUGGGUCACAUGGCAAAACCCCAUCUCCACAAAAACGCAAAACAAUUAGCUGGGUGUUGGUGGCACGCUCCUGUAGUACCAGAGAGGCUGAGGCUGGAGAAUUGCUUGAACCCGGGAGACGGACGCUACAGUGAGCCCAGAUCGCACCACUGUACUCCAGCCUGGGUGACAGGGUGAGACCUUGUCUCAAAAAAAAAAAAAAAAAAAAAAAAAUAUAUAUAUAUAUAUAUAUAUGUCUCUGGUACCAUUACCCCAAUCAGUCCUAAGCCCAUAUUUCCAACAACCCAUUAGAUGUGUCCACCUAGAUUUCACAAGCAUCUCAUUUUUAUCACGCCUAGCAUUAAACUCCUCUCCCCCUUCCAAGAUGUCUCACAGUCUCCCACUUCUUUAUGUCACCUUGUGUCCCAGGUAGAAGCCUUGACCUUUCCAAGCUGCACCUAUAUCCACAUGCACAACACCUCCCACGACUCAGUACACGGAGCUUUCUGCUAGUUUGCAAACCCACUACCCCCAGGAUUGCCCACAUUCUCCUGAAAUGCCAUUCUUUCCCCCACGCCCAUGGCUCACGUCAUCUUCAGGUGACUCCGCAGCCCUUUGCUCACACCUUUAUCUAGCAUCUCCAUGGUGUUACCAUGGUGCACCCGUAAGACCUUUCCAUCCUCAGCAUGUCAGGCAUUGCCUGGCACACAGUAAGAACAAAGUAAGGCCCUGAAAAAGCUGAAGUGGAACAAAACAGUUAAGCAGCACUUAAUAUUCCUCUCACUGCGUAUCAGUUCAACUACAUUAUUUCAUGAAGUCUGGUUUGGACCUGUUUGACAACUAGAUUUCCAACAUGAAUCAGUUCUGCAAAUUCUAGCAGCCACAUGAAGGCAAUUUUUAGGACAAUAAUGUUAGGGGGUAGAAAACAGCAGAUAAAAGGAGGUAGGGCUGGGCACGGUGGCUUAUGCCUGUAAUCCCAGCACUCUGAGAGGCAGAGGCGGGUGGAUCACUUGAGCUCAGGAGUUCGAGACCAGCCUGGCCAACAUGGAGAAACCCCGUAUCUACUAAAAAUACAAAAAAAUUAGCUGGGUGGGGUGGCGGGUGUCUGUAAUCCCAGCUACUCGGGAAGCUGAGGCAAAUAAUAAUAAUAAUAAUAAUAAUAAUAAAUAUAUAUAUAUAAAAGGCCAGGCGUGGUGGGUCAGGCCUGUAAUCCCAACACUUGGGGAGGCCGAGACAGGUGGAUUAUCUGAGAUCAGGAGUUCGUGACCAGCCUGGCCAACACAGUGAAAUCCCAUCUCUACUAAAAAUACAAAAAAAAAAAAAAAAAAAAAUUAGCCAGGCGUGGUGGCGGGUGCCUGUAGUCCCAGCUACUCAGGAGGCUGAGGCUGGAGAAUCGCUUAAAACCAGGAGGCAGAGGUUGCAGUGAGCAGAGAUCGUGCUAUUGAACUCCAGCCUGGGUGACAAGAAUGAAACUCUGUUUCAAAGGCCUCCAGGAAACCACAGCUACAACCAUCUGCCAAGCUCCAUCCUCGUCACUGCUUCCUGCAGCCAGCGGCCUCGGAGCAAGCUUGGUUUCAUAUACGAUUUAACAGAGGGAAAUAUAUUCUCUGAAGUCUGACUCUCUAUGAAUGCUCUUAGGCUAAAUGUCCACCCCUUGAAGCUGGAAUGAAAUAAGUCUGGGACAAAUAGGAUGUGUUUUCUAUGCUGUAUUAGCCAAAGAAUUUGCUAGAAAUAGUUGGGGCAGAUUGAAGAACGAUUGCAAGUUGGCAAAGGUUGAGAAUUCACAGGUUUCUUGCAUAGAAACAGAGCUCUCCAAGGGACCAUCAUUAAGCCCUGGGGAGGAUUCUCACACUAAUCUACAGCAUAUUCUCACUUUCUGCUGCUCUGCCAGAGGUGGCCUGGAUAGAUUUGAUCUGAUCAACCCAGGUCAGCAAUUCUCAGGUGAAGUCACGUCUAGCACCUGGCAUGGCUGAGAUGAAACAGCAGAGCACGGCUGCAGAGUCGGAACCACCUGGGACUGGGUUAGGCUCUUUCACUUCUUCAGUAUCUCCUAUUUCCUGAGCAUCAAUCAGUUACUGGAUUUUACAGAUGACCACCGGCUUUGUUGCCCUCAGGAUCUCUGUAAGGCCCUCAGGAUCUCUGUAAGGGCAAGGCUGCUUAGCUAAUGAGAAUAGCAGAGGCAGCCACAGGAGGGAGGGCGAUGGCCUGUGGGGAAAUCGACUUCGGGACAAGCAAAUAUUUUCAUUUCAGCUGUUUAUGUCCUGGCUACUUCCUCAAAAAAGAUUUAGGUGGGACAGGCAAAUAUUGAUGCAGCCAAGUAAUAUUUCCCUACAUCCAUGCAUCUGUAUGUGGUUAGAAGUGAUUCCAGUACAUGCCAAGAUUACACAAUAAAAUUCCUUAAAGCCAGAGACUCGUCUUUGUCUUUCCUUCAGCUCUUGCAACUGAGACUCAAUAGAUGGUAGGUGUUUUCAAUAUUUCUCUUAAAGUUUUAAUAAAUUCAUGGCUUAUCCGUAUCAUGUAAACAGUGUCUGCUCUUAACUCUGGAAAACUCAGUUUUGACUCUUGUCUCCAGCUUUUUUCUCACUCAAUUUCGGUGCAGGUCUUAAUAAAUACAGAAAAUUUCCAACCUCUUCCAUAAGUGGGUCAAAGGGAACUACAGCCAGAAAAGAGAUAAGUCGAGGCUAAGACAAAAUUGCCAUAGGUUCAUUCUAAAGAUUUUUCAAUCCCUGUGCUCAGGCUACACCCAAGACCAAUUAAAUUUGCAUCUGUGAUUUAAUUGGAGGAACUCAGGCAUCAGUAUUUACUAAAAUGCCCCAGAUAAUUCCGGACUGCAAUAAAGGGUAGAUACCCUGGUCUAAAGAUUCACAAGACCGGUUCUUUUACAUGCCUAUCCAGGCUAUGACAGUUUCUACGCUCUUCCAUUCCAAAGUGAAAACUCUUCCUCUAAGUUAUCACCCACUAGCCUUCAAAUGAUGUCACAGAAAGAACAUCACCCUUGGAGUGGGGAGGGGAGGUUUAAGUCUAGGCAUCACAAUUUAAACUGGUGGGACCUGGGGUUGGUCACAUCCCUUUUCAGGGUCUUCAGCCUCUCAGCCAUAAAACAGGAUGACAGCCCAUGCUCUGUAUGCCGCAAGGCUGUUGGCUGGAUCAGCUAAACUCUUAAGAGGAUGUGUGGGCUCUAAGAAUACCCCGCGCACUGGGAAUUUUUGACCUGAUCUGUCCAGGAAGCAUUGUUCCAGCCUAGCCCCGACUACCCUUCAAAGCAGACUCCCUGAGGAUUCUUACAUUUAAAAGACUACAGGCUAUACAGAAUCCAAAACCCCCUUCUCUAACAGGCAAGUCGACUUCGAGUUCCAGAGCUCACAAACCUGAAUCCCGCUCCUAUUAGCGCCAAGUUGAACAGCACUUCACUCAGAGCACAGAGAACCUUAUCAUGCUAUAAUCUACUCCAGUGCCUAAUCACAGAAAUGUCUAAUGUUGGUCUCCCUUGGCUCGAUCUGGAUUGAUACCUUUCUGGCACCAUUUUUAGUUACUCAAGGAUCAACAAUCAGGCAUAGAUAUCCUAGCAUGAUUAUAGGGAAGUUAUUACACAAUACCGCCUCUGAGUGUACAUUAGUGUGGGGUCUCUACCCCUCACUUAAUUAUACACACAAAAAUGCCAGUAUCUGAAACUGCUAGAGAAGUCUCUAGACUGAGCUAUUAUUCUGCCAAAACAUGAACCUUUCUCUACAAAGGGUUUCCUUAUAAUCUGAAGUAGCAAAAUUGAUUCUAUUUUAUAGGCUGUUCUCUAAGGUCCAGUUCUGAAAGGAAGAAACUAAAGUCUUCUUUUUCUUAUUGAUUCUUAUAAUUAAAAAACAAGACUACUCCAGAGCUCUGUAAGGUAUGUGACAGACAUGGAGAAUGGCUUCUGGGAGACUUGGAAAGGAGGAAGAUUUGCUAAUUUAGGUCAAGGAAGUGCAGAAAAACAGAAAAGGUGCUGAAAUGUCUUCCCAGGAAAUCAGCAUUUACUUGGCAAAGUAUAGGUUUAACCUCUCAAAAGUUCAUUC
rnacentral:lncRNA from 10 species